rnacentral:rRNA from 1 species
CGCGCGGUUUUUAAUCUGAAUGAAGCCCCGCUCACCGGGAGGUCAUGGAACUGGAAAUUGCUCAGAGAGAGAGUGACUCCACGGGAGCGUGAAGGGGAAAGAUUGGAGGACACCAGUGGGAGGCGAUCUGUGUCUGUAAAGACGCUGAGGGGGAAGCGUGGGAGCGAACAGGAUAGAUACCCGGUAGUCCACGCGUAACGAUGAGUGGUAAGUGUUAGGGGUUCCGCCCUUAGUGUGCAGAUAAAGCAUAAGCACUCCGCUGGGGAGUACGUCGCAAGAUGAAAUCAAAGGAAUGACGGGGGCCGCACAAGCGUGGAGCAUGUGGUUAUUUGAAGCAACGCGAAGAACCUACCAGGUCUUGACAUCCUCUGACAACCCUAGAGAUAGGGCUUUCCCUUCGGGGACAGAGUGACAGGUGGUGCAUGGUUGUUGUCAGCUCGUGUCGUGAGAUGUUGGGUUAAGUCCCGCAACGAGCGCAACCCCUGAUCUUAGUUGCCAGCAUUUAGUUGGGCACUUUAAGGUGACUGCCGGUGACAAACCGGAGGAAGGUGGGGAUGACGUCAAAUCAUCAUGCCCCCUAUGACCUGGGCUACACACGUGCUACAAUGGACAGAACAAAGGGCUGCAAGACCGCAAGGUUUAGCCAAUCCCAUAAAUCUGUUCUCAGUUCGGAUCGCAGUCUGCAACUCGACUGCGUGAAGCUGGAAUCGCUAGUAAUCGCGGAUCAGCAUGCCGCGGUGAAUACGUUCCCGGGCCUUGUACACACCGCCCGUCACACCACGAGAGUUUGCAACACCCGAAGUCGGUGAGGUAACCUUUAUGGAGCCAGCCGCCGAAGGUGGGGCAGAUGAUUGGGGUGAAGUCGUAAGCAAGAGUCUGCCCC